GCCUUCCUAGCUCAAUCGGUAGAGCGUGAGACUCUUAAUCUCAAGGUUGUGGGUUCGAGUCCCACGGUCGGCU
rnacentral:tRNA from 1 species